CCCAAUUCGCCAUUCAGAAUCGUUUCGUGGCACGCGUUGCAACCGAGCUUCGUCCUCUCGUUAAUUGCAAUUAAUUAGAAUAUUUUAUCUAACGUACGCUCUGAUUUUAUAUACCGAUCGAAUGCCGAAAACGCGAUUUCCACGGGUGAAUUUAUCAACGUCGAUCACGCACAACUGCGACAUAUAACUUAUUCUACUGCGUUCUUUAACCUAACAACCAUACAAGCCAUCGUUACUUUUGAUUAUAGAAUGGGAGAGGUACGACGUCUGGAUUUUCGUCUUCAAUUUUACUUAUUUACAGUGAGAAAUGGUGUUGGACACACGACGACGAGUGAUCGAAACAACAAGCACGUGGGGAAGCCAUUAAAAAGAUGACGUAAUGCGUACUCGCGACGAUACAGCUUCCUUGUUGCCGCUUAAUCCGCCAUUCUGAAUCAGUUCGUGGCACGUGUCCCAACCAAACUUCGUCCUCUCGUUAAUUGCAGAAUGGAAGAGGUACGAUGUCCGGAUUAUCAAUUUUACUUACGUACAAUAAGAAGUGAUAUUCGAUACAGGACGACGAGUGGACGUAGAUUCUGUGAAUUUGUUCGUGAGCGUUAACGAUACAGUGUGCCCUGUGUUCCUAGAAAGAAGCAAGAUGGAUUCGGCUAGAGUUCAACAGAGUAGACGUCUUCCGUUUAAGUUUAUACAUUCAUUCUUCGAUUAAGCAGUGUUCUUUCAGAGAAACUUCUUUUAGUAAUUUGCCGUCAGAGUAUAUUUUUUGUUCGAUUGUACAUUUUUUGGGAAGUGCGUUUUAUAUACGUGGAAUAGUUGAUAAUUCGGGGUUCAUUCAAAUUGAAUAACGUUGAUUUAACAUUGUUUCUUUAAUUUUACAUUAGUGGAUUUUAUAUGGAUUCUUUCAACCUUCAUCGUCGUCAUGUGAUUAAUAAUCGACAUCAUCAGGAUAGGGAGGAGUUUUGCACGGUCGUCACCGCGCAGUUGAAUCUUUCUAGACGCAACCCACUUUUUAUCGAGCACGUGUUUAUGGUCGAGAUUUGUCUCGUACCAUUUUCUGUGCAUUUACGCUGGUUGCUCUGCCCUCGUCCAGCAUUAUAAAAUAACCGAGGACAUUCUACUCUCCUCCUUAUUUUUUAGACCUGCUUCAGAUGUCGUUAAUUGAUCUCACGUCGAGGACGAUCGAUGGGAAAAUCUAUGUACGCGAACGCGCUUAAUCUACAUUAUUUUAACGAGUCGUCUCGUCCGUCUUGGAAUAUCACUGCGAAAUAAAAAUUGUAGACUUUUCGUCGAUAGUGCAUGACAGAACGAAUACUGCUUAAAUCACGGAGUGGAUGUAUCAUUCGACGGAUCGUUUCCUGAUUGCUGUAAUGCGGUUGACAGUUCUUUAGCCAUCGAAAUGUUACAAGCACGUUGGGAAGCCAUUGCAAAGGUGACGUAAUGCGCAAGCGCGGCGGUCCACAGCCCCCUUGCUGCCUCAGAAUCCACCAUUUUGAAUAAUUAUUGGCACGUGUUACGACCAAGCUUUUUUCUCUCGUUGAUUGCAGAAUGGAAGAGGUACGACGUCCAGAUUUUCGUCAUCAAUUUUAUUUAUUUACAAUAGUAAAUGGUGUUCGACACACAACAACGACUGGAUGUAGACGUGAUUUCUUUCGUUAUUGUUGACAUUACAUCGUGGCUAGUUUUCUUAAAAAUAAGCAUGAUGAAUUUAGUUACAUUCGAACAGAAUUGACAUCUUGACAGUACGAACGCUACUUAAAUCGUGGAAGGAAGCGUUCCUUGAUCUAACAACCAGCUAAGGAAUCAUUAUUUUCGAUGAUAGAAAGAAAGAAGUAUGAAGUUCAAAAUUUUCGUCAUCAGUUUUACUUAUCUAUGAUAAGCAAUGGUAUUGGACACAGGACGACAACUGAUAAGCAAUAGUUGACAUAUAUUAUUAUUUAUUUUCACGUUACCCUUUACGAUAACGUUUAGCUAAUUCUACAUUUAUUUUUUCAGGGUAUAGGCAUUGCGAUUUCGUCCGUUAUUGUUAACAAUACAUCGUGGCCCGUGUUCCUUGAAAUAAGCAUGGUGAAUUUAGUUACAGUCGAACAGAAUUGACAUCUGUUUACACAUUCAUUCUUCGAUUAAACAGUGUUCUGUUAACGAUACUUUUACAUCGGAGUAUAUUUUUCUUCCGAUUACAUUUUUCAUUUAAUAUACAUCGAGUAGCUGAUAAUUCAAAGUUUAUUCAAGUUGGAUAACGUUAUCGUAACUUCAUUCCUUUAAUCGAUGAAAAAAUCUAUGUAAGCGAACGCGUCUUAAACACUAUUUCAACGAAUCAUAUGGUCUCUCUUGAAAUAUCGCUGCGAAAUAGAAACGAUAGGUUUUUCGUCGAUAGUAUACGACAGAACGAACACUGCUUAAAUCGAGAUAUAUGUGUUAAUUGGGUCGUGGAUUCCCGGAUAGCAGUUCCUAAGUAUCACGCUCGUUAGAGCAAGAUGGUUCUUUAUUCUCUUGUCUGAUGAGGAAUACUUAACAUUUUGAUAUUUUUAUUAUAACACUAUUUUUAUUAACUUUGUUAAUUUUUUUUUUUUUUCUUUUAGGAAGCCUAUAUUGUAAUUUCGUUCUACUGUUUGGAUACGGAUAAAAGAACAAUUCAACGCUCUAGUUGGAAAUGGUCUUUGUAAAAUUGCGACUCAUGGAAAGCCUCCUUCCUCUAGGAUUUAUCAUGAAUAUGAAGAUGAGAAAGGAAAGGAAAGGAAAGGAGCCAGGAAGAUGCGAUGGAAGCAAUAACGAAGGAUGGAAUCUUGAAGAAUCUUCCAUUGGGUUAAAAUCAGCAGGAAAACAACGCUUCCUUCAUUUUACCGAACCGAAAGAAGACUCGCCUCUCCUUCGUGCGUAUUGCUUCUUUAAAUCUGCUUAAGCUCCAACGUUCUACGUAAUUCUCGGCGAUUUUGCGCACCCCUAAGCGUUUCUGCGUGACACCCUAAGCAAUCCUGCGAUACCCUGAGCGUUUCUGCGAUACCCUGAGCGUUUCUGCGACACCCUGAGCGUUUCUGCGACACCCUGAGCGUUUCUGCGACACCCUGAGCGUUUCUGCGAUACUACCUUGAGCGUACCUUGGAUACCCUAAGCGAUCUUGCAUGAUACCCUGAGCGUUUCUGCGACACCCUCAGCGUACCUGCGCAAUCCCUAACGUCGUAUUCUGUUCAAUCCUCAGCGUUUUGCGUAACCACCAGCAUUUCAAACGAUUCCCCUGCUUUAGUCUUGCGCAUAAUUGCGAUGUUUUACGAAAAAUUACAAGAUAGAAACAAAUUUGUUAGAAUCAUUGUUAUAAUAUUGUUGGAGUUUAUAGAGCGUUGAAAAAAUGAAACUUCAAUUGGAAGGUAGUACAUCAGUUGAUUUUUUCUUUCCGGAAUGUUAACAUAAAAUUGUUUUAUACUUCACAAGAUAUUACGUGCGGCAUAAUUGUAAAUUACGUGCGGCAUAAUUGUAAAGUGAUAGAAAGCAUACAUAAAUUUGAUGCGUUAAGAGAAUUUUAGACCACCGUUGGGCGUAUCGAAAACCGUCGUCCAGUAUUUAUCCGUAACAACAAACAUCUUUUUAGACAAUUCUUAGGAUAUCGCGUGAUCCCAGCUUCGCGAAUAAUUGAAAUGCUCAUAUACUAAAAAAGAAAAAAUAUUUUUAUCAUUGUAAUAAGAAAGCGUCGAAAAAAAAGGAAGGCAGUAUGUAAGCAGAUUUCUGUUCUGCGAAACGUUCGAUUAAAAUUAUUUUCUACGUUCUACGAGCGGUAUAAAGCUUGAGCGGCGGGGUUGUAUUCUGUAAAUAUUAGUUUGAUACUACCGAGCGUACAUAUGUAGCGUACAUUGCUUAAAUGAUUGUAAAACGACAAAAAAUAAAAAUGAUCUAGGUUUAGCGCGGUUCAACGCGGUCCAACGCGUGUACCGGAAAUUUUAGGGCAUGGUAGAGCGUUUCAACUACCGUGAAUCCAUUCGUGCGUAAUUAAGCGUGUUGCGUAAUUCCGAACAGAUUGGCGUAACCCUUAGAAAUAUUGCGUAAACCCUAACCCUUAUUUAGGUAAAUUCUCUGGCUCUGCCAGACGCAACCCAGCGAUUUCGCCCACUACGUCUUUUGGCGUAAGUAUCCAUUUGGCAAAGUAUGGUUUUUUUUACACGUAAGUCCUGUCGAUUUUUCGCAACGUCCAACGUGGACACCCAGAGUUUUGUCUUUUUCAGGUCAUCUGCAACCUCGGAGUUAUUUAUUUACCUACAUACUAUCGAGAUUACUGAAGCGAUGGUAUUUUUUUUUUUUUGCAUAAUGUUAAGGGCAUUGCGUCGUUUUGAACGAAUGCGCGUAAUCAGCAGUUUCUUUUUUUUUUGUACGAAGCCCACCGUAUCUAUAUAAUCCUAACAGAUUUUGUGUAAACCUUGGCGUGUAUUCAGCCGAACUUCUGUGGUGUAACUUCGGCGUAAUCCAGACGCGACCCAAAGAUUUGCGGUAAGUAUUUUUCUCACUUAAUGCCUUUAUGUUCGUUCCGUAAUUCUACGCGUGUUGCGUAAAUUGCAUAGUAUCUGCAACCCGCAGCUCAUUUUCCUAGAUACCAGCGAAGUUAUUUAAACUGCGGCAUUUUUUUUUCAUAGUUCGGGAUAUUUUCGUUUUAUCCGAAGAAUCCGCGUUUUUAUAUAGCCUAACGUCUCUGUGUAAACCGCGGCGUGUAUUUAGCUUCAUUUUAGCGUGUCUACUUAACUCUAACGUUUCCACAUUAUCACUUGGUUAUCGACCGUAUUUUUUUUUUUUUACGUGAUCUCUAUUCGUCGCGUAAUUCUUCGCGUAUAUUGUAAUUUGGAGGGUAUUUAGAAUCCUAUCUUAUUUUCUAUGAUAUUAGAUGGGUUACUUACCCGACAGAAUAUUUGCAUAGUCCCAGGGGUACUCCUUCCGAUGAAUCGUUGCAAUGUCCAACUUUUUUUUUUUACAACGCCAAGCGAUUUUGCGAAACGUUUGCGCGAUUUGAAAGCCCUAGUGUAACGUAGCGUAACGUAUUUUUACAUAACGAUCCCGAGAUUUGUCGAAAGUACUUCUAAUUUUUCUUUUUUCAUAAUCCUUGUCGGGGUUUUUCUUUUUGACAUUCUUAACAGCUGCGUUAUUCGUAGAAUACUCUAAGCAGCUUAUUUUCGUAGAUACUAGCUAGGUUACUGAAACAACAGCAUUUUUUCUUUUUUUUUUUUUUUUUUAUAAUUCGUGGGGCACUCGUUAGAUCCGACGAAUCUGCGUAAAUACUAGGGUUUUACUCGUAGAUGACCGUGUACUUUCAUGUGUAUCUGCAACUAUCAGCUUAUUAAUCGAAGAUAUUACCGAGGUUAUAUGAUCGACUGCAUUUAUUUUGCAUGAUCUGUGGGGCACUCGCGUUAUUUCCGAAGAAUCUGCGUAAAUACUAGGGUUUUCAGGAAAUGCAGCGUUUCUGUGUAAUCCUUGUAGAUUUGGCGUCGGUAAUAGGGCGUAUUUAGGUAGCUCCGAGAAUGCGGCGUAAUCCGAUUGUUUCCGCAUUACCAUCCUGUGAUUUCGCGUAAGUACUUGCAUUUAUACGUAAUACUUGUGUAAAUUCCUGUCGGUUUUCGAUAACUCGUAGAUGACCGUGUAGUUCCCGUGUAUUUACAACUGUCGGCUUAUUAAUCGAAGAUAUUACCGAGGUUAUUUUAUCGACUGCAUUUUUUUUGCAUAAUCCGCGGGGCACUCGUUAUAUCCGACGAAUUUGCGUAACUACUAGCAUUUUCAUAAAGUCCGGCAUUUCUGCGUAACCUACAGAUUUUACAAAAAUCUAAGUACGCAAUCUACAGCGUGGGACAUAACCCCACUGUCUUCGCUUUACCAUCCGGUGAUUAGAAGUAUUUGUCCGUUUUCUUUUUAGGUAAUCCCUCGGUUUUUCAAUAAUUCCUAACGUACCGACGUAGUUCCUAGGUUUAUCAGCAAUACCUAGGUUAUUUUCCUAGAUACUAGCGAGGUUACUUAAACGACAUUUUUGGCCUCCGAGCUUUCUCCGUAAUCUCAUUUUUUUUCCGCAUAACCAUCUCGUGAUUUCGCUCAAGUAUAUUGUUUUUCCGUAAUGGAUGUCGAUUUUUCCUAACUCCUAGAUGACCGUGUAAUUUCCAGGAUAUCUGUAACGAUCAGCUUAUUAAUUCUAGAUAUUAACGAGGUUAUUUAGUCGAUAGCAUUUUUGAAUAGUCCCUGAGGCGGUUGCAUUAUUUACGUAGACUAUACGAACUACCAGCAUCUUUAUAAAGCUCAUCGUUUCUGGGUAACCCUUACAGAUUUUGGCUUAUCCGACUGGCGAUUUGAAGUUAUCCGUAGUACCCAUCUUAUUUCCCUAGAUUCUAGAGAGGUUACUUAAACGACAACAUCGUUGCAUAAUCCCAGGGGCAUAUUCGUUAUUUCCUACGAAUCAAGUAACGACCAGCGUCUUCAUAAAGUGCAGCAUUUCUGUAUAUCCUCAUAGAUUUGUCGUCAAUCCUAGAACGUAUUUAGGUGGCCUCCGAGCGUCAGGCGUAACGUCAUAGUGUCCGCAUAAGCGAAUAAAUUUGUUUUUACCUAACGCUUGUCAAAAUGCUUGUCAAUUUUGCAUAAUUCCUAGAUGUCCGUGUAAUUUCCACGGUAUCUUCAUCCACCAACUUACUAAUCCUAGAUAUUAACGUAGUUAUUUAAUAAACAGCAAUUAGCAUAGUCCGUGGGGCGUUUGCGUUAUUAUCGAAAAAUCGGCGUAACCACCAGCAUUUCCAUAAAGCUCGUUUCUAUGUAACCCUUACAAAUUUUGCAAAAAUUCUAGUACGUAUUAUGGUGGUUUACAGUGGUUCGACGUAAUUCCACAGUAAUCGCAUAAAAACCAUUCAGUGAUAUGAAGUAAUUAUUUUUCUUAUGUUCCUCUCUCUUAGGUAAUCGAUUGGUUUUUCCUGUUUAUCUGUAAUGCCCAGCUUAUUUUUCUAAAUAUUACGUAGAAUCGAUAAAUGACAACAUAUUUGCAUAAUCCCAGGGGCACCGCCAUAUGGGUGUGAACGUAAGUGUCUACGUACGAAUGAGAGCGUAGAGUGCCUCUACCGGCCAUUUUCUAAAACAGGUAGCAGGCCUCCGUAAUAUCCGUGUAAUCACUCUCAGACUGAUUUUAGUGUCUAAUAUUUGUUUCAUUUUAUUGUAUACUAUUUGCCUGAUUUUAUUGUAUAAUAUUUGUCUCAUUUUAAUAUAUACUAUUUGUUUAAUUUUAUUGCAUGAUAUUUGUGUGAUUUUAUUAUAUAAUAUUAAACAGAGGAGAAACUAUAAGUAGACAUCAGAAUUUGAAUGUUUGUGAUUGAUCAUUUAUACGACGCCUUUGAAUAAUCGUCUAAAAAGAAAACGGUUACAUCAAGCUUGCGUCUUUAUUGAAUAAGAGACACGACUGAGCUUCGAUGACAUUCCGCCUGCAGUACGUCUGAUUUGCGUUCAGUAUUCUAUCAGACUUCCUUCUGUUUCAUGUUAAAUUAUGCGGCAUAAGCUGUGGAAAGAUUGUAAAAGAGACGUAUAAGAACUGUAUGACAGUUGUGCAAAAAUUGUGUGAGAUGUCCAAAAUGUGUGUAAAAGUUGUGUGAGACUUACAUAAAAGGUGCGUACAACUUGUGAGAAAAUUCUAUAAAAGUUGUAGAAAAAGUAUUAUCUGAAGGUUGUGUCUGAGGUUGUGUCUGAGGUUGUGUCUGAAGGUUGUGUUUGAAGGUUGGGUCUGAGGUUGUGUCUGCAGGUUGUGUCUGAAGGUAGUGUCUGAAGGUUGGGUCUGAGGUUGCGUCUGAAGGUUGUGUCCGAAGGUUGCGUCCGAAGGUUGGGUCUGAGGUUGUGUCUGCAGGUUGUGUCUGAAGGUAGUGUCUGAAGGUUGGGUCUGAGGUUGCGUCUGAAGGUUGUGUCCGAAGGUUGCGUCCGAAGGUUGUGUCUGAGGUUGCGUCUGAAGGUUGUGUCUGCAGGUUGUGUCUGAAGGU